rnacentral:rRNA from 1 species
UUUGGUCAUCAUUGCGAUGAGCAUUACACCUUCCCAUGCUCGGACACAGAAGUUAAGCCAUUCUACGGCGGAGGUACUUGGGUUGCCCCCUGGUAGAUAUGCGGAGUGGCCAAUG